GCAAGGGAUGGAGAGAGCCCGGAUGUGUCCUGGGUGAAGGAGAGAAAUGGGAGAGGUGGGCUGAGGGAGACGGGGACUGUGCACUGCUGGCAGUGCUCUGGGAGCACUGGCAGGAGGAGCGUGGGGCAGCAGAGUCCAUGACUGUGGAGUCAGCCACCCCCCAACAGGGCACCGGCUGUGCUACUGAUGCGUGGGGCAGAGAUGGAGCAGCUCCAUGGGGAGGGGAAAUGCAGGAGCUGGUGCAGGGUCUGCACUGGGACGUGACCCAGGGAACAAAGCGGCACAAGGGCUGUCUCCAAAGGGAUGGUGUGAGGCUGACGCUGCCCCAGACCAUCUCCAUGGGGAUGCUGCCCUCCCCAGGGUUGUGGCCGCAGUACCAACAAAACACAGUGGGGCUGUGCUGUGGGGACAGCCCUGUGCUGGCCCAGGGAAUGGGGCUGGGGGAGCCCAGUGGGGUCCCGUCCCUCUCUGCCCAUCCCCAGACCAGCCCUGCCUCUGUCCCCAGGCUCCGUGAGAGCUGGGGAGCCCUUCUCUGAGGCUGUGUAUGAGGAGAUCGCUUACAGCCUGGCGUGGGAGAAGCAGCCGAGGUUCAGUCUCUCAGAUGUCCCUGUCCUGCCCGGAGGUGACCCAGCAGAUGGCUAUGACGAUGCCGGGGAGGUUUCUGACCCUGGGGAGGAUCCUGUCCCUGGGCAGGGGGACUGGGAUGUGCCCGGGAUUCCAGAGGAGGGAGAGGGGCCCAGGGAUGCAGCCACAGGUGAGAGGGCAAUGCAGCACUGCCACUUCCUUGGUGCCAACCCCAGCGCCAGGCAAGUCCAUGUUGUAUCGAGAGCCUGAUCUCCUGGCACGGGGAACCUGUCCUGGGAGAUUUCCUGGGGGCUGGGAGAAUGGGCCGAAUGUCUCAGAGCUGGCGAGGAGGAGGAAAGUGAUGUACAGCCCCAUAGGGCUCCCCUCAGGACCAACCACAACAGCCUGCCUUGAUGCUUACAGGGGGAAGCCUGCACUCCCAGAGAAGUACUGGGGCCCCUGGAGCUGA
rnacentral:lncRNA from 1 species